AUUGAACGCUGGCGGCAUGCCUUACACAUGCAAGUCGAACGGCAGCACGGGGGCAACCCUGGUGGCGAGUGGCGAACGGGUGAGUAAUGCAUCGGAACGUGCCCAGUCGUGGGGGAUAACCAGUCGAAAGACUGGCUAAUACCGCAUACGACCUACGGGUGAAAGCGGGGGACCGUAAGGCCUCGCGCGAUUGGAGCGGCCGAUGUCUGAUUAGCUAGUUGGCGGGGUAAAGGCCCACCAAGGCGACGAUCAGUAGCUGGUCUGAGAGGACGACCAGCCACACUGGGACUGAGACACGGCCCAGACUCCUACGGGAGGCAGCAGUGGGGAAUUUUGGACAAUGGGCGCAAGCCUGAUCCAGCCAUGCCGCGUGCGGGAAGAAGGCCUUCGGGUUGUAAACCGCUUUUGGCAGGAACGAAACGGCGCGAGUGAAUACCUACGUGGGAUGACGGUACCAUUAGAGAAAGCUCCGGCUAACUACGUGCCAGCCGCCGCCGUAAUAC
rnacentral:rRNA from 1 species